UACGUAGGGGGCAAGCGUUGUCCGGAUUUAUUGGGCGUAAAGAGCGUGUAGGCGGCUUUACAGGUCCGUUGUGAAAACUGGAGGCUUAACCUCCAGACGUCGACGGAAACCGCGUGGCUAGAGUCCGGAAGAGGAGAGUGGAAUUCCUGGUGUAGCGGUGAAAUGCGCAGAUAUCAGGAAGAACACCAAUGGCGAAGGCAGCUCUCUGGGACGGUACUGACGCUGAGACGCGAAAGCGUGGGGAGCGAACAGG
rnacentral:rRNA from 1 species